AUAAAUAAAAUUCAAUUGAAUUGAAUUGAAUGGGAGGGUAUUUAUCUAUCUAUCUAUCUAUAGAAAGAUAGUGUAGUGGUAACACUACUCGUCUACCAGUUCAAAUGUCACCCAGAUUAACAAGGUCCACAUCAGGUCUCUAGGACACACUGUUGAGAAGUGGGCUUCUGGAACAAGAAGACACAAGUGAGCAAGGGAUGAGAACAGAGAGCUGUUGGAAUCUGAAGUAAGGAAGUGAUCCCAGUAAAAGAGGAUGUCAGACCUAUGGAGUCUUUGACACCCAACAUUAGUGAAACAACUAGUAGCUCAGUGUUUCAACAUCUGGAAGAUGCAACUGACACUGAGACUGAUGAGGUACAACACAAAUGCUACAGCAGAGGGGUGCCUAAGAAGAAGUCCAUAUGGAACUUGAGAAUAAAAACUGCUUACCUAGCAAAAUGAGCCACAUUUUAAAAAUCUGGGGGAAAAAAAUUAAAAUAUGACGUAUGAGACUUUUGAAUGUUAUUAUUGAUCAGUCUCUUUUAAUUCAAUGUGCUUGCGACAUGUGUAUCAAAUGUCUUCCACAGCAGAUCGAGUGUCUGCUCUGAUAACCAUCUUGCCAACAACUGAUAACAUUGUGGAAAACUUUGAGUUUGAGGUUAAUGAUAUCCAUAAAUGUGACUGUGAAAAACAGGACUUUUUCUUUCAUUUUCAGGUUCACUAUUUCUGGGAAUCACUCAGAUUCCUGUCACAGUUCAAUUCAUUGAGGUUAGAGAUGACGGGUGUAAGGAGGGAAAAAAAGUAACAUCAGAGCAGAUAAAGUUGGGGAGUGGGGACGUGACAGAUAAAAGGAACCACAGAGUACAGCAGAGCAGAACUUGCGCUGUCUUUCUGAUCAGAGAAGUUGCCAUUUUAGGAGUUUUUAAAAGACUCAUCUGAAUGUAAGCCAACAAAUCAUAUCAACUCUGUGGCUAAUGGCAAGGAGCCUAACAGCGUA